rnacentral:rRNA from 1 species
UCAAGCGAACAAGGGCGCAGGGCGAAUGCCUUGGCACUGGGAGCCGAUGAAAGACGUGAUAAGCUGCGAUAAGCUUCGGGGAGCUGCAAAUAAGCAUUGAUCCGGAGAUUUCUGAAUGAGGAAACUCACCUGGGUUCAUACUCAGGUACGUUAUACUGAACUUAAAAAUAGGUAUAUCGAGGGAACCGCCUGAACUGAAACAUCUAAGUAGGGCGAGGAAGAGACAUCAAACGAGAUUCCGUAAGUAGUGGCGAGCGAACGCGGAAGAGGGCAAACCGGGAGUAGAAAUACUUCCGGGGUACGGACUGCUUUUAGGACUUAAUCUGUUAACCGAACGGCAUGGGAAGGCCGGUCAGAGAGUGUGAGAACCACGUAGGUGAAAAUGAUGAGAGCUGAGCGAUUUCCAGAGUACGGCCAGACACGUGAAACCUGGUCGGAAGAUGGGGGGACCACCCUCCAACCCUAAAUACUACCCAGUGACCGAUAGCGUAUAGUACUGUGAAGGAAAGGUGAAAAGCACCCCGGGAGGGGAGUGAAACAGUCUCUGAAACCGUGCGCCUACAAUCCGUCGGAGCCCUUUUGUGGGGUGACGGCGUGCCUAUCGAAAAAUGAGUCUGCGAGUCAGUGGCACGUGGCGAGCGUAACCCGUGUGGGGUACGCGUAGCGAAGGCGAGUCUCAAAAGGCGUUUUGAGUCGCGCGCCCUGGACCCGAAGCGGGAUGAUCUAGCCCUGGGCAGGUUGAAGCGCGGGUAAGACCGCGUGGAGGACCGAACCCACCUGGGUUGAAAACCGGGGGGAUGACCUGGGGCUAGGGGUGAAAGGCCAAUCAAAUUCCGUGAUAGCUGGUUCUCUCCGAAAUGCAUUUAGGUGCAGCGUCGGUUGAUUGCAUCGCGGGGGUAGAGCUACUGGAUGCUUGAGGGCCCGCAUCGGGUACCGACAGCAGCCAAACUCCGAAUACCGGUGACGCGUAUCCCGGCAGUGAGUCGGCGGGGGAUAAGCUUCGUCGUCGAAAGGGAAACAGCCCAGACCGUCGUCUAAGGUCCCGAAGCGUGUGCUAAGUGGGAAAGGAUGUGGAGUCGCAUAGACAGCCAGGAGGUUGGCUCAGAAGCAGCCACCCUUGAAAGAGUGCGUAACAGCUCACUGGUCUAGUGGUUCCGCGCCGACAAUGUAGCGGGGCUCAAGCACACCACCGAAGACGCGGCAGUAUUUUGUACUGGGUAGGAGAGCGUCCCAUGAGGGGCGAAGCGGCCGUGUGAACGCGCCGUGGACUUCAUGGGAGUGAGAAUGCAGACAUGAGUAGCGAGAGACGGGUGAAGAUCCCGUCCGCUGGAUGACCAAGGGUUCCAGGGCCACGUUCAUCGUCCCUGGGUGAGUCGGGUCCUAAGGCGAGGCCGACAGGCGUAGUCGAAUGGAUGAACGGGUCGAUAUUCCCGUACCGGCUUUCAGCCGCCAAAACCGAGGCUUGGAGUACUAACCUCCGGGUCCGGGCUUACUGCUCCUUCGGGGGCGGGAUGCCCUGGCCUGUUGGGACCGAUCCUUGUAGUAGGUCAGCGCAGGAGUGACGCAGAAGGGUAGCCGGCCGCGGAGGUGGUCUUCCGUGGUCAAGCACGCAGGGCGUGGGACAGGCAAAUCCGUCCCGCAUGGGUCCGAGGUGCGAUGAUGGGGGCCUUAUGGCCCGAUAUCCGGUGAUCCCGGCUGCCGAGAAAAGCUUCGGCGUCAGGCUCAAAGCCGCCCGUACCCCAAACCGACACUGGUGGUCAGGUAGAGAAUACCAAAGCGAUCGAGCGAAUCCUGGUCAAGGAACUCGGCAAAUCACUCCCGUUCCUUCGGUUUAAGGGAGACCCCCGAUGGUGAACACACUUGCUGUGGGAGCUUUUGGGGGUGGCACAGACCAGGGGGUAGCGACUGUUUACCAAAAACACAGGUGCAUGCGAAGGCGCAAGCCGCUGUAUAUGCACUGACGCCUGCCCGGUGCCGGAAGGUUAAGAGGAUCCGUCAGCCUUCGGGUGAAGCGGUGAAUUCAAGCCCCGGUAAACGGCGGUGGUAACUAUAACCAUCCUAAGGUAGCGAAAUUCCUUGUCGGGUAAGUUCCGACCUGCACGAAUGGCGUAACGACUUCCCCACUGUCUCGACCAGGAGCUCGGCGAAAUUGCAGUACGAGUAAAGAUGCUCGUUAAGCGCAGAAGGACGAAAAGACCCCGGGACCUUUACUAUACCUUGGUAUUGGCAUUCGGUGUGGAUUGUGUAGCAUAGGCGGGAGGCCGAGAGGCGCGGUCGCCAGAUCGCGCGGAGCCGUAA